rnacentral:rRNA from 1 species
UACGGGGGGAGCAAGCGUUGUUCGGAUUUACUGGGCGUAAGGGGCGCGUAGGCGGCCACCGCAAGUCAGUUGUGAAAGCUCUGGGCUUAACCCAGAAAGGUCAACUGAUACUGCGGGGCUAGAGUGCAGAAGGGGCAACUGGAAUUCUCGGUGUAGCGGUGAAAUGCGUAGAUAUCGAGAGGAACACCUGCGGCGAAGGCGGGUUGCUGGGCUGACACUGACGCUGAAGUGCGAAAGCUAGGGGAGCGAACGGG